GAGACGGUAGCUCAAUGGUAGAGCGCAAUAUUUGCCCUUAGGGGCCGCAGGACUAAAGGUUAUCGCUAUGGACGAAUCUCCCUUUUGUCCGCCGAGAUGCGGGUUCGAUUCCGGCUCGUCUCC
rnacentral:tRNA from 4 species